UUCUUAUUAUUAUUAUUAUUUUGCUCUCUUAUCAUAACUUAAUGCACCACAAAGUUCACGUAGUCUCACGUGGGUGUAGGUAAUCUCAGCAGCCAAUCAGAGAUUACGCAGGUCGUAUUCAGCAGAUCGGCAUAGAGACGAAGAGCGGGAGGUUGUUCUUCUGGUUCUUCCCAAUCAUAGCCAGAGAAACGAGGUUAGCUGUGUGCUAGAACGGAGAUAAAACGGAGAUAAAAACCCUGGAGUUCGGCUAACCACUUACCUUUCGUCUGUGGAGUUGCCACGAGGUCCAACAUCGCCGUGUUGUGCUUUGAUAUACACGGAGCAACGGUGAGAAAUAUGUCAUUUUAGCUGCUGCAUUUUAGGUGCUAUUAUCCUUUUGUUUUCCGUGUGUUGAAAGAAAACAGUGGCGAUUAUUAAUUUAAUAGGUCAACUAAAGUGAAUAAUGGUGCAAUGUUUUAAAUAUAUUUGUGUUGUGGUUAUCAAUUUAUGCCGAUGUAUGUGUAUAUAAUUUAGAAGGGGAAGUAUUUUGUUCAUAAUGCCAAUUUAAAGGGAAAAAAAAAGUUUUUUUUUGUGCUGUAAUGAAUAUAAAAUGUUUUACUUGCACUAUGCGAUUUACUUGAGCACAUUAUUGCUGCUCAACUGAAUUUAAAGUAACCAGAGGGUAAUUGUUAGUGCAUUUCUCUUUCAUGAAUAGGCCUAUAGUGUUAGAGUAAAUGAAGCACAAUUCUGUAACACCUCUAACCCUGAACUCAGAAUGAGUACGGUUCUGUUAUUUGCACAUGGUUUUGAUGUGGUUAUGAUAAAUGAUAUUUUGAAUGUUAAUGGUUAUUUACCAUAAGUAUUAUUGGAAUACUGUUCACAUGAACAGCAGGUAAAUGCGUGAGCACUUUGAUGUUAAGUUCUCAGGAAUUAUAUACUUUAGACUGAAUGUUGUACAACUGAAAAGAAGAGAUUUGAUAUUUGAAUGGAGUUAAAGAUUUAUGUCAAGGUUACAUGUAGAGAUUUAUGUUUUUUUGACAUUUGAUAUACUGACUGAUGCAUCUGAGAAUGAAUAUUAUUGAAUGUAAACUUUCUGACCCGGUCUGUAGGUCAGGUUUUUUGAGGACGGACGUUGUCCAGUACAACAUCUUGCUGAGAAUCGAUGGCGAGCCAAGUCCCCUGAGGAAAGUCCAGCACCGAUUUCCCAAUUCACACGCACAUGUUACUUACAUUUCCAGCAUCCUUGGAACAAGGUGAACUGCAGAAACUUUACAACAGAUACACCGGAACACAUUUUUUUAUUUUGGUUUAAGGGCCCAACGGACAUUCUUUUAUUUACUGGUGUGCACACUACUUUUUUUUAUUUUCUUCCUAAUUUCUUUGGGUUAUUUCAUAUUUUGUACAAACUGAACUGAUUGUCUUUGACAAUUGUGAGUAAUAUACGAGUGGCUACUCAACUGUUA